AGAGGAAGUAAAAGUCGUAACAAGGUCUCCGUUGGUGAACCAGCGGAGGGAUCAUUACCGAGUUUACAACUCCCAAACCCAUGUGAACAUACCUACUGUUGCUUCGGCGGGAUUGCCCCGGGCGCCUCGUGUGCCCCGGAUCAGGCGCCCGCCUAGGAAACUUAAUUCUUGUUUUAUUUUGGAAUCUUCUGAGUAGUUUUUACAAAUAAAUAAAAACUUUCAACAACGGAUCUCUUGGUUCUGGCAUCGAUGAAGAACGCAGCGAAAUGCGAUAAGUAAUGUGAAUUGCAGAAUUCAGUGAAUCAUCGAAUCUUUGAACGCACAUUGCGCCCGCCAGUAUUCUGGCGGGCAUGCCUGUCUGAGCGUCAUUUCAACCCUCAUGCCCCUAGGGCGUGGUGUUGGGGAUCGGCCAAAGCCCGCGAGGGACGGCCGGCCCCUAAAUCUAGUGGCGGACCCGUCGUGGCCUCCUCUGCGAAGUAGUGAUAUUCCGCAUCGGAGAGCGACGAGCCCCUGCCGUUAAACCCCCAACUUUCCAAGGUUGACCUCAGAUCAGGUAGGAAUACCCGCUGAACUUAAGCAUAU
rnacentral:rRNA from 1 species